AUUUUAAUACUUCAGAGACAUACUAUGCAUCAAAAUGUAGGUCUGGGUCUUGUGAUUCUCACAAUAUAAAGCUCUUCGCUGUAGGAUUUAAAUUUUUUAAAAUACGACCGUUUGAAGAUGGCAACCGCCAAAAUACUCUGACCUGUGCAAGGCUGCAGCAGCAAGUGAUGUCAUAGACAGGGCCUUUUGAACACCUGCUAAUGUUUUUAUAAAUGUAUGGUUUAAUGUAACUGUGCAACAACGUUGCAAUUAAAUGUGCUAUAUAAAUGAUAACAGUUGCUCCGCCCACUCCAGUUGUAGACUACUGGUGAAGGCAAGAACACUUCACACAAUUUCCCCAGAAAUUGUAGCUUUUCUAGUUAUGAAUAAAAUUUAAAAAAAUGUGAGAAAAGGUUUGUUUUUUUUUGGUUUGUUUUUUAAUUUGUAUUUCCGUCUGACAUUUUAGCUGUGAGUGUCAUAAUACUGUUAGGUUUUAUUGCAAAAAAAAUGCACAUAUUUGUAAUCGGCGAUGUCUC